UACAGAGGGUGCAAGCGUUGUUCGGAAUUAUUGGGCGUAAAGGGUGCGUAGGCGGUGCGGUAAGUCUCUUGUGAAAUCUCCGGGCUCAACUCGGAGCCUGCAAGGGAAACUGCCGUGCUUGAGUAUGGGAGAGGUGAGUGGAAUUCCCGGUGUAGCGGUGAAAUGCGUAGAUAUCGGAGGAACACCUGUGGCGAAAGCGGCUCACUGGACCAUUACUGACGCUGAUGCACGAAGGCCAGGGGAGCAAACGGG
rnacentral:rRNA from 1 species